AUGAAGUACGCUUUGAAAAUUUUAAUAUCAAUUUUCAUAGUAUGGACAGUUUCAUUAUUAACGAUUUUUAAGGAAAUGCAACGGGAAGUUUCAGAUGUGGAAGAUCAGAAACUGUAUGAGCAAGCAUUGAAACGAUUUAGAAAAGCUUACGCAAUGAGAAAUAAUUUUACAGAUCCACUCUCAACAUGGCAACUUGUGGGUCCGCCGAGUCGAAAGUUUUCCAUGGAAGAAAAACUUACAGCAGUGAAAUAUAGCGAGUUUCCACUAGGCAUAAAUGGAUCUCCUGUUGAUUUGGAAGACAAUAUUCGAGGUCAUAUUCGGAUUAUGAUAAGACAAGGAUGGAAAGAUUACUCCUUCAAUCAAUAUGUUAGUGAUCUUAUACCCAUCAAUCGCACUUUGCUGGAUUAUAGAGA